CUUGACCUCAAAUCAGGUAGGACUACCCGCUGAACUUAG
rnacentral:rRNA from 1 species